rfam:Lysinibacillus manganicus DSM 26584 contig13, whole genome shotgun sequence.
GAACCUAUCUAGCGAUAGAUAGCUGAAUCAUCAGAAGUCAGCAGAAGCCAUAGUACCACUAGUGGGAAGGGC